rnacentral:miRNA from 1 species
AGUUAAAUUUGAAUUUCAGAUCAAGAGUGAAUAACUUUAGUAGAAGUAUUUCUCAUGCCAUAUUUGGGACAUGCUUAUGCUAAAAUGUAUUCAAUGUUGAUCUGAAAUUCAAAUGUAACUAAGGGUUCUGUA